rnacentral:rRNA from 1 species
CUUUACUGUAACCUGGAAUUGGGUUCGGGCUUUGCUUGCGCAGGAUAGGUGGGAGGCGUUGAGAUAUUCCUUGUGGGGAAUGUGGAGCCAACGGUGAGAUACCACUCUGGUGAGGCUAGAAUUCUAACCCGAUGCCGUGAACCGGCUCGGGAACAGUUUCAGGCGGGCAGUUUGACUGGGGCGGUCGCCUCCUAAAAGGUAACGGAGGCGCGCAAAGGUUCUCUCAGGCUGGUUGGAAAUCAGCCGUAGAGUGUAAAGGCAUAAGAGAGCUUGACUGCGAGACCAACACGUCGAGCAGGGUGGAAACACGGCCUUAGUGAUCCGACGGCGCUGCGUGGAAAGGCCGUCGCUAAACGGAUAAAAGUUA